UACGAAGGGCGCAAACGUUGCUCGGAAUUAUUGGGCGUAAAGCGCACGUAGGCGGCUUUACAAGUCGGAUGUGAAAUCCCUCGGCUUAACCAAGGAAGUGCAUCCGAAACUGCAGAGCUUGAGUACUUAAGAGGAUCGCGGAAUUCCCGGUGUAGAGGUGAAAUUCGUAGAUAUCGGGAGGAACACCAGUGGCGAAGGCGGCGAUCUGGGAAGAUACUGACGCUGAGGUGCGAAAGCGUGGGGAGCAAACAGG
rnacentral:rRNA from 1 species